rnacentral:rRNA from 1 species
GUGGGGAAUAUUGGACAAUGGGGGGAACCCUGAUCCAGCCAUGCCGCGUGUGUGAAGAAGGCCUUUUGGUUGUAAAGCACUUUAAGCGAGGAGGAGGCUACCGAGAUUAAUACUCUUGGAUAGUGGACGUUACUCGCAGAAUAAGCACCGGCUAACUCUGUGCCAGCAGCCGCGGUAAUACAGAGGGUGCAAGCGUUAAUCGGAUUUACUGGGCGUAAAGCGCGCGUAGGUGGCCAAUUAAGUCAAAUGUGAAAUCCCCGAACUUAACUUGGGAAUUGCAUUCGAUACUGGUUGGCUAGAGUAUGGGAGAGGAUGGUAGAAUUCCAGGUGUAGCGGUGAAAUGCGUAGAGAUCUGGAGGAAUACCGAUGGCGAAGGCAGCCAUCUGGCCUAAUACUGACACUGAGGUGCGAAAGCAUGGGGAGCAAACAGGAUUAGAAACCCCGGUAGUCC